rnacentral:misc_RNA from 1 species
GUGGGAGCGGGCUUGCUCGCGAAUGCGGUAUGUCAGUUAUAGAUGAAUUGACUGACCCACCGCAUUCGCGAGCAAGCCUGCUCCCAC